rnacentral:rRNA from 1 species
GCGCGGCGAUAGCACGUUGAAUAUUCCAGUUCCCCAUAGAUCACUGAAGUUGGCCAACGUUGCGCGUGGUUAGUAUCCGAAUGGGUGACCAUUUGGGCGAUUGCGUGCUGUUGGCC